UGGUUUGAUAAUGACAGGUCUGGUCUGAGGAGAGAGACAGGGUUGGUUUGAUAAUGACAGGUCUGGUCUGAGGAGAGAGAGAGAGACACAGGGUUGGUUUGAUAAUGACAGGUCUGGUCUGAGGAGAGAGAGAGAGACACAGGGUUGGUUUGAUAAUGACAGGUCUGAGGAGAGAGAGAGAGACACAGGGAUGGUUUGAUAAUGACAGGUCUGGUCUGAGGAGAGAGAGAGAGACACAGGGUUGGUUUGAUAAUGACAGGUCUGGUCUGAGGAGAGAGAGACAGGGUUGGUUUGGUAAUGACAGGUCUGGAGAGAGCGACAGGGUUGGUUUGAUAAUGACAGGUCUGGUCUGAGGAGAGAGAGAGACACAGGGUUGGUUUGAUAAUGUGAGGUCUGGUCUGAGGAGAGAGAGAGACACAGGGUUGGUUUGAUAAUGUCAGGUCUGGUCUGAGGAGAGAGAGAGAGAGAGACAGGGUUGGUUUGAUAAUGACAGGUCUGGUCUGAGGAGAGAGAGAGAGACACAGGGUUGGUUUGAUAAUGACAGGUCUGAGGAGAGAGAGACACAGGGUUGGUUUGAUAAUGUCAGGUCUGGUCUGAGGAGAGAGAGAGACACAGGGUUGGUUUGAUAAUGACAGGUCUGGUCUGAGGAGAGAGAGAGAGACAGGGUUGGUUUGAUAAUGACAGGUCUGGUCUGAGGAGAGAGAGAGAGACACAGGGUUGGUUUGAUAAUGACAGGCCUGGUCUGAGGAGAGAGAGAGAGACAGGGUUGGUUUGAUAAUGACAGGUCUGGUCUGAGGAGAGAGAGAGACACAGGGUUGGUUUGAUAAUGACAGGUCUGAGGAGAGAGAGACACAGGGUUGGUUUGAUAAUGACAGGUCUGGUCUGAGGAGAGAGAGAGAGACACAGGGUUGGUUUGAUAAUGACAGGCCUGGUCUGA